AUACUUACCUGACAGGGGACAUACGAUGAUCACAAAGGUGGUUUUCCCAGGGUGAGAUUUAUCCAUUUUACGGGUUGUGCUGAUCCCUGAAAUUUUCCCAAACAUGGGAAACUCUACUGCAUUAAUUUGUGGUAGUGGGGGACUGUGUUCACAUUCUCCUU